rnacentral:tRNA from 1 species
GGAGUAGUUCAGUUGGUUAGAGCGCCAGGUUGUGGCCCUGGAGGUCGUGGGUUCGAAUCCCAUUUC